AUAGAGCACUCCGCGGACACGGGGGUGGCGGGGGCGGCCGGGUUGGAUGCGCGGUGGGUUGUGAGAAUGUCAGGCUCCUGUGACGCGGGAGGCGGGGCCCAGGCGGGGUUCCCGCGGGAGGGGGCGGGCCGCCGGGCCGGGCCUGAGGUGGGUGGGUCCCUGCGCCCCCUGCCUGCUCAACUUCCCUCUCCAGCUCCCGGCUCGUCUUUGAUGUCCGACAAAGUCUGACCCUGGGCGUAUGUGUCUGUGGCUCUAUAGGCCUGUGUCCUGGACGAGGUACUUGACAAACUGUGCUGGAACCUGCCUCAUCUCCUGCCACCUCAGAGCUUUCAGGUCCUCUGAAGACUACGUCUGGAAGGUGCUAAAACUCACGGCCUCCCAGCUGCCUGCACACAUGCAGGGACAAGGCAUGGAGUAUUCAAGCGCCUUUUGGAGCAAGCUUUUCACCAUCUUGUACUGCCUGACUCAGAAGAUAAGAAUGAGGGGAUCUCAGUCUUUUGACGAUGUGCCAGCUGUGCUGUGCUACCGACCCAUCCUCCAGAACUAGGUUUUGGGGUUCUAGUUCAUCUUUCUGGUCUCCAAAAACAAACAAUGGGAUCCUUUCUUCCAGAGGGCCACAGGAAGGGAGAGAAUGAGCGGAGCUGCCGGAGGAGGGAUGUGCAGUCGAGUGUAGGAAGAACUGCCGCUGCCAGCCUCCACGUGCUGGAGGAGCUCACGGAAGGAGCUGCAGGGUCCCCACAGGCAGACUUCUCACCCGCAUCGACCGAGCACCUUCUGGAGAUUCCCUGAAAAUGGCAAUACCAUUACCAUUCUUGGAUUCCCAGGAAUACAGAGCCUCUCCCAACAAGUGUUUGCCUGGCUGUGCACAGUAAUCUCAACACCGGUGUCCCAGGAAAUGGCCCACAAUUUCACCAUAUUCAGGAAGUCCUGUUGAAGAAAUGUAGAGAGCUGUGUUUUCUUGGGAGGGUCACUGACUCAAUGACCUCCAUUUCCAGGCUGUUUGCCCAUUGUAAUCAAUUUUUCCUUCUGUUACGCACAUUUAUGAAAUAUUGGGUACCUGGCUUUUCUUAGGGAUGCAUGUCUAACUCCACAUAACUCUACAUGGUUUCAGUUGUUUACAAGGCAAUCUUGGGUGAUCCUAGCAACUCUAUUGCUGUCAUUUUAAGACCAUUAGAACCUUAGAAACGUCCUAAGAGUCCUCCUUUUUUUAUUCUUCUUGCUUAUUUUUAAAUGGAAGGAAGUCUUAUGAGGUAGCAAGGUGGUGAGGAGGAAGACACUGCUUUAGCUCCUGCUAGUUAUUCCAUGUUAUGCUUGAGCUUGUUAUUUGCAUCUGGUCUCUAUUUGUUAGCAUCAAUGGACUGUGUUUGCAUAACUAGAUCAAAUUAUGAAAGGACUUUGAUUUUGAAUGGUUAAUUCACACACACAGUCAAGCUCCAAGCCAGAGAUACCAGUCUUGGAAAACCUUUGGUAGAGGGGAAAAAAAAAAAUUUCUCAAAGUUCAUCACAAAGCCUUUCUGGUUUCAAUUUCCCCUCUGCUUUUGAAAUCAGAUCCAAGCCCCCCAGCCCUCCACCUAGAGUAAAGGAACUGAGGUUUGCCAGGAAGUGGCGUGGUGGACCACCCAAGAAUCGGCGUGUCUGAUGUGGAAGGGUGAAGUGACAUGGACAUCUAGAGAUGAUGUCAAAUAGACGAGAGUGAGCCACUGGUAUACUCUGGCCGCUGGGUCUCCCCAGCGCAGAGCCCGGUGCCCUAGAGUUCAGUUAAUCCAGCUAGAAAGGGCGUGGGAAGUCACUUUCCAGUCCUCACUAGCCUUGAGGCAGUGUGCGACCAACCCUUUCCAAAGACCUCCCUGCUUUCCAGCUCUGGAGAAAGGUUCCUGUUCGCUCAGCUCCUCAGGCCGUCCCCUGUCAACAUGCCUCUCUUUUCCUUUUUUUCACAUACAUUUCCUUAUCGCCAUCUGAUGUGGUUUGUGCCUUCCAUUAAACUGUGAAGUUCCUGGGGCUAAAGAACUGGUCUUGUUCCCACUGAGUGUGCCUAGCACCUCCCUGCUAACACGUGGGACAGGGGCAUUACGCAACCUAGAUAGCUGUGUUACUUCCUUUCUGAUCGCUCUGGGUCAGGGUUCUCUCCUGUAGAUUGCAAGGUUUGGAAGGGCAGCACCUCGGUGGGUGAGAAGUGCCAGUGACCCAGAGUCAGCUUCACUGGGCGAUCAAGGAAGCAACCUCUCCUGGGGUGUGGCUUGAGGGGUUUCCACUUUUCACUUACAGUUUUGAUCCUUGUCUCGGUACAAAUUCCUUUGAGUUACCUGAUAAGUUAUCAAAGGCUUACAGUAGAUAAGAAGACAGCCUGGGGAGAGGAGGGGAUAGCAGCAGAAGGCUGGGAGGAGAAGUUUGGAUGUCAACUGGCCUUACUGACACCAACAUCUUCCGCACUACUGUGGAUGGUGUUGAUAUAUAGAAGGACUCGCCGGUGCCGCGGCUCACUAGGCUAAUCCUCCGCCUUGCGGCGCCGGCACACCAGGUUCUAGUCCCAGUUGGGGCGCUGGACACUAGUCCCGGUUGCCCCUCUUCCAGGCCAGCUCUCUGCUGUGGCCAGGGAGUGCAGUGGAGGAUGGCCCAAGUGCUUGGGCCCUGCACCCCAUGGGAGACCAGGAGAAGCACCUGGCUCCUGCCAUUGGAUCAGCGCGGUGUGCCGGCCGCAGCGCGCCAGCCGUGGCGGCCAUUGGAGGGUGAACCAACGGCAAAAGGAAGACCUUUCUCUCUCUCUCUCUCUCACUGUCCACUCUGCCUGUCAAAAAAAAAAAAAAAAAAAAAAAACCAGCAGGAUAUAUAGAAGGACUCUGUCCCAAGGUGCAGCAGACCCCUUGUGUAUCAGCUAGAAAUGAAGAAUGGGUGGCAUUUAGACAGCAUUGACUAUGUGCCAGACAGUGCUCUGAAUAUUGAACAAGUAACAACCUAUUACAUGUCUCAACUUCCAGAGCUUGGUCCUAUUAGUAUUCCAAUUAUACAGAUGAGAAAACCGAGGCUCAGAGCAUCCAACACUCACACAGACAGAAGGCGGUAGAUCCAAGAAAUUAGUCAUUGGCACUUCUAAGUAAUUAAGUCCUCCCUCCUUCACUCCCCUUUCACAUUAACUAUGAUUUUCACCCUUUUUCCACCCUUGUCAAAAGAAUUGGAUAAUCCCAAUGUACCCCAAACAUGCGAAACAAACUGGCAUCUACGAAGGCAGAAACAGUGCUCCAGGCUUACCCGACCCUUCUACAAAGAUGAGUUCUCAAGCAAUGGCAACCAAAUGCAGUCACUGACAACACUUUUUAACCAAGUGAGCCACGGCGCCGGCCCCAAAACAACACUUUUUAAAAGGUGAAUUGGGGCUAGCGCUGUAGCAUAGCAGGUAAAGCCACCGCCUGCAGUGCACAUGGGCACUGGUUCAAGUCCCAGCUGCUCCACUUCUGAUCCAGCUCUCUGCUGUGGCCUGGGAAAGCAGUGGAAGAUGGCUCAAGUCUUUGGGCCCCUGCACCCGCAUGGGAGACCCGGAAGAAGCUCCUGGCUUCUGGCUUCGGAUCGGCACAGUUCCAGCCAUUGCAGCCAAUUGGGGAGUGAACCAGCAGAUGGAAGACCUCUCUCUCUCUCUCUCUCUCUCUCUCUCUCUCUCUCUGCCUCUCUUUCUCUGUGUAACUCUGACUUUCAAAUAAAUAAAUAAAUCUUUUAAAAAUGUGAAUGAAGAUUCCAAACUUUCAAAGUACCUAGGGAUUCCUCUAAGCUCCACUGUCCCCACUGGGGUGCUUCCCACAGCAUACUAUUGACUAAACAGAGAUUAUAGCCCUGGCAACCUUUACAUCACUUGACACACAUAUCUGGAAGGUAGCCUUCGGGGAGGGGGAGCUGCUCGGUGAGUGUGUAUGCAAGUUACAAGACAUGCAUAAACAAACACACAUGUGACUCAGCCAACAGCUGCUUUUCCUU